UACAGAGGUGGCAAGCGUUGUUCGGAAUUAUUGGGCGUAAAGCGCGCGCAGGCGGCUUUUCAAGUCCACGGGUGAAAUGCCGGGGCUCAACCCCGCGCACGCCCAGGAUACUGGGAGGCUGGAGACACGUAGAGGCAAGCGGAAUUCCGGGUGUAGCGGUGGAAUGCGUAGAGAUCCGGAAGAACACCGGAGGCGAAGGCGGCUUGCUGGGCGUGAUCGUGACGCUGAGGCGCGAAAGCGUGGGGAGCGAACAGG
rnacentral:rRNA from 1 species